UUCCCACAUUUUCAGUUUAUUGUUAGAGGAGUUUUUCAUUUUAUUUAUUUUUAUAUUAUUUAUAAAUUGACGGGCCAAGGAACUUCACUCAAACUCGAAGAGUUUUUCAGCCGGUGUCUCAAUUUUGUUAAGCCUAUAAUGGAUAUAUGCACGGACAUUCACUUAACUUACAAUCAUUAAAGUUUAAGAACAUACUUUGUAUUUUCAUUUAAAACAUUAAUAAUAGCCUUAAAAUGUCUAGGUUACUAUGGAACUUUGAAUUAUGUGCUCAGUAUAUUUCAUGUAAGUGGGUGAUUGGAAGAAUUGAGUUUUUAUCCAAAAGUAGUUGCUCUUAUUAACCAACAAAGAGCACAAUCUUGGAGCUCCACUAAAGAUAGUGUUAAGAACUAUCGAAUUGGUAUAUUGUACAGUAAGUAAUAUACUUUGCUACAAUUCUUGGUGGUUUUCUGGCCAGGUAAACUUACAUGUGACAUAUGCCAAGCAGUGUUUGCUCAUACAUCAGGAUUAAGCCGACAUCGACGCUUCAAACACAGUUCAAGAAAGAGCUUGCAUUGUCCGAGUUGUGGUCAGGUUUACCAGCGUACAGGAAGCCUUAUUAACCACCGCAGAGUGGCUCAUGGCCAUGAUAUACCUGAAUCUAUACUUAGUCUGGCAUAUGGUCAAGAACUAGAUGGAGAAUAACUCAAGUUACAUUAUUUAACUUCUAGGGUGUGUUAUAAAUUCAUACUACAGCAAUUAAGCUUCUGAUUGAAAACUGAAAAUUGAUGCUUCAAACUAUGAAACUUGAGCUUCUCAAGUUAGAUGGUAAUUACUACAAAGUACUUUAUCUUGUGAUGUAGAAGUUGACAGCAGCUAAUUCAUAGUAUGGUUCCUUAAACUAAUCAAGAACUGAGGGAUUGACUAAUGAAUACUAUAACCCUUUAAUUACUGAUAUAGAACAGGAAAAUGAUUAAAGCAAAUUAUGGCACUUUAACCUGUGGUGUAGAAUAAAAUGGUGAUUAAACCAAGCUCAAACUAUGAAAUUUAUUUUUUGAUUUAGAACUUUAAACUCGUACUGAACUAUGGCAGUUUCAGUUCUGUUCUACUAACCAAAUUAUACUACCUGUAUGAUGGAUAAUUUUAACCAUCUGAAUGGAUAAUAGUCAAAAUUAAAAUAAUAUUAAAAACCUUAACCCAAAAAAAACUAUUUUUGACAGUACAAAAACAUUAAUCAUAGUAUGAAAUGAAGAAUGUUUUUUUACCAGUGCAAAAUCAGUAAUAGGGAAAAAAAAAAACUCAGAAUUUUUUUGUCAGCACAAAGUUAUUAAGCAUAAUAGGAAAGAUCUUCGACUGGACAGAAAUGUAAUUGUAGUAAGAAACUAAAAAUGAAUUUUAUACAGUUUAAAAACUACCCAUAAUGAGAAGUUAAUAUUGAAUGAAAAAAUAAGUAUCCUUCUGGGGUAUUUGAAUUUAAUAUUGUUUUACCUUUAAUUGCGUUUUGGACCAGUCCAUUAUGAAUUUUAAUUGCACAAAGGAAUUUUAUUUUAAAAUUUGCAUACUCUUUGGCCACAUAUCUAUAUAAUUAUGUAGUUCUUUGUAAAUUUGUUUAAGAUUAAAUUUAGAGAGAGACAUUAAAGAACAUUUACAUGUAAUUUUAAAUAAAUUUAUUUAAAAAAAAAUAGAAAGAUGGAUUGUUUUAGCUAUAAUAGGAAGACACUUUCAUUAAGGUGUUGUCAUUCCAUAUUGAAUUAUGUUCCCUGUUAAACUUGUAAUUAACAUUCUUUGGUAAUGUACAAAUGUAUUGAAAGGAUGUGCAUAGCACAUGAAUGUGUUAACAGACUAAGAAAAUCUUGAAGUUGUGUUUUGCUCUAUUGGUCACAUGAUGUUACAAAUCUUAGUGUUAUAUGCAAAAUAUGUAAAGUAUCUAAUUUAUGUAUAGGUCUUAAAAUCACCACUUAUUUUAGCACUUUUGCUAGUUAUGAAAGUAGAUGUAUUUAUACACCUUCCUUGCAUAUGUGCCAAAAUUAUUUACUUUGUGUAUUUUUUAUAGAUUUGAGAACAAUAAAUAUGCACAGUGA